rnacentral:rRNA from 1 species
AAUCAACGCUGGCGGCGUGCCUCAGACAUGCAAGUCGAACGCGAAAUCUCCCUUCGGGGAGAAAGUAGAGUGGCGCACGGGUGAGUAACACGUGGGUAAUCUACCUCUGGGUGGGGAAUAACAGUCGGAAACGGCUGCUAAUACCGCAUAAUGCAGCGGCAUCACAUGAUGACAGUUGUUAAAGCGGGGGAGUCGUAAGACCUCGCGCCUUGAGAGGAGCCCGCGGCGGAUUAGCUAGUUGGUAGGGUAACGGCCUACCAAGGCUACGAUCCGUAGCCGGCCUAAGAGGGCGGACGGCCACACUGGCACUGACAUACGGGCCAGACUCCUACGGGAGGCAGCAGUCGGGAAUUUUGGGCAAUGGGCGAAAGCCUCGACCCACGCAACGCCGCGUGAAGGAUGAAGCUUUUCGGUAGUAGUAAACUUAC